CUCUUUUUGGACGUCACCACAUAAAAAAGUCAACACAAGAUGUCAAAACGGCCAAAACUGUCAGGUGCCCAGGGAAGAAAAAAGAGAAAUAAAGACGAGGAGAAACGAGAAAAAGACAGAGGUAGCAGUCGCCUCCUGUCUCGCAGCAAUUUGUGCAUAACUGUGCCAGUUUGCGUGAACAUUUCAAAAGGUACUCAAAGCGCUUUUGACGCUAUUUCCACAUUCCCCCAUUCACACACUGAUGUCGGGAGCCGCCAUGCAAGGCCCUAAACACGACCCCCUCAGGAUACAACAGACGUGACUAGAAUGGCGCAAGCUGGGGAUUGAACCAGGAACCAGGACCAUCCGAGCCACGACGUCCUUCUUCGUAAGCUUUGAAAUUUUCGUAAAUUCACCAAAAUGCGACUGUGGGGGGAGGUGUAGCCAGCGCUGUUUGUAGGAGUAAAAGCCACCGCCGCUGUCCGUGGUGCUGAGGACGAGCGCCAUCGGGCGUGUGUUGACGGCGAGACACAGCUGGCAGGUGAUUAAAUUUCACAGGUGGUACGUGUUAAUCUAAUCAUCUCUUGUCUUUAAGAGUGAGCGGCCGGGUGCAGGGGAAGGAGGAAGGUUGGGGAGAGACUGGAAAGUCCUGGAAGAAAACAUAAUAUUUGAUGGUUGUGUUGUUGUCAAAACUGUACGCUUGUGUACUUUGACCGUGCAUAUCUGUGGAGCCGCAAGACAGCGACUUCCACAGUGACCGUGGACUUACUGAGUCUGUUGAGCGGAUUGAAGAGCUAGCUUCCAUAGCUAGUGACAAUGACUUCUGUUUUUGUUUGAUCAGACUUUGUUACAGGCACUGUUUGGAAACAUCUUAGGCAUGUAAAUAAGCAUUUACAUAUUUUUUUUCUGUGUAAAUAACUAUUUUCACAAAGUAUCACAAAUUCCUCUGUAA